rnacentral:sRNA from 1 species
AAAUAAUUUAUGAAUUAUAUCCGGUCUCCACUAUCUUCAAGAAACUCUAUUUCUCCUCGAUUUAAAA